AGAACGAACGCUGGCGGCAUGCCUAACACAUGCAAGUCGAACGCUCAUCUUCGGAUGGGAGUGGCGCACGGGUGAGUAACGCGUGGGAACCUGCCCCGAGGUUCGGGAUAACCGAUGGAAACGUCGGCUAAUACCGGAUACGUCCUAAGGGAGAAAGAUUUAUCGCCCUGGGAGGGGCCCGCGUCGGAUUAGCUAGUUGGUGGGGUAACGGCCUACCAAGGCGAUGAUCCGUAGCUGGUCUGAGAGGAUGAUCAGCCACACUGGGACUGAGACACGGCCCAGACUCCUACGGGAGGCAGCAGUGGGGAAUAUGGACAAUGGGCGCAAGCCUGAUCCAGCAAUGCCGCGUGAGUGAUGAAGGCCUUAGGGUUGUAAAGCUCUUUCGGCGGGACGAUGAUGACGGUACCGCAGAAGAAGCCCGGCUAACUUCGCGCCAGCAGCCGC
rnacentral:rRNA from 1 species